UGUGGCUGUGGCUCAGCGGUAGAGCGCUCGUCUCACACGCGUGAGGCCCUGGGUUCGAUCCUCAGCACCACAU